GUGCUCACUUUGGCAGCACAUAUACUAAAAUUCGAACGAUACAGAAAAGAUUAGCAUUGCCCCUGUACAAGGAUGACAUGUAUUCUGGGGCUUAAACCCAAGGACCU
ensembl:snRNA U6 U6 spliceosomal RNA